UUCAGGGGCGUGAGGAAAGACUCAAUCAGUUCGUGCUGGCCCACAGACGCACAUAACUAAUUGUACAAUCCGAAGGUGAAAAUCGUUUCAGGAGAAGUCAACCUUGGCCUCCAUACUCAAAAGGAAUAGAUUGUCAUCUGACCAGGAGAUAAUAAGCUUAUGGUGCACACUUCACAACAAGUACGUUGAAGACAUUGACAUCAGCGAGCCGUUACUCUGUCUGUUGCUGAGAAUGGUGUUGUCAUGAGUCAGAAACAAGUUGCGUUCUUGUUCAUAAUAUGCAGGCUUUGUGUAGGUAGGUAGGCUGUUAAGUCCUCGUUGGCGUUGUUGCAACAUGUGAUCCGGAUAUACAUGUUAUCCGUGUAAACACGUUAUCCAGGUUGACACCUUAUCUAGGUAGACGUGUUAUCCUGGUAGACGUGUUAUCCUGGUAGACGUGUUAUCCUGGUAGACGUGUUAUCCUGGUAGACGUGUUAUCCUGGUAGACGAGUUAUCCUGGUAGACGUGUUAUCCUGGUAGACGUGUUAUCCUGGUAGACGUGUUAUCCAGGUAGACGUGUUAUCCUGGUAGACGAGUUAUCCUGGUAGACGUGUUAUCCUGGUAGACGUGUUAUCCUGGUAGACGUGUUAUCCUGGUAGACGAGUUAUCCUGGUAGACGUGUUAUCCUGGUAGACGUGUUAUCCUGGUAGACGUGUUAUCCAGGUAAACGUGUUAUCCUGGUAGACGAGUUAUCCUGGUAGACGUGUUAUCCUGGUAGACGUGUUAUCCUGGUAGACGAGUUAUCCUGGUAGACGUGUUAUCCUGGUAGACGUGUUAUCCUGGUAGACGUGUUAUCCAGGUAAACGUGUUAUCCUGGUAGACGUGUUAUCCUGGUAGACGUGUUAUCCUGGUAGACGAGUUAUCCUGGUAGACGAGUUAUCCUGGUAGACGAGUUAUCCUGGUAGACGAGUUAUGCGGGCAGACAUGCUAUCCUGGUAUUGGUGCAUGGCUUAGUACCACUACCCAUAACGUGAUAAGUGUAUGCUCAAACCGAUACUGGUGUCCUCGUAGUCUGUGGAGCAAGGACAGGCUGUGCAGAGGCCUCGCCGUGCCAGUAUCUGCAAGUCCUUGAUUCCAAUCCCUAAUUCGACCUAUGAGCAUUCUUGGUUGGAAUAACUUUACCCAUCAGGAACAGUCACCGUCAACGACUGCGUCACAAUUUAUUCCCAGCUUAAGGAGACAAGCCAUGCUAGGACUGAAAUAUUGUUCAAAGCGGCCCAAAACUCACUCACCCACACACUCACACAUUAAUCAGAGUAUGCUUAAAUGAAGGCUAUAUAGCCAACAAGGUCUCUGAAAUUAUUAAAAAAGACCGUUUAUCAUAACUCUUUCUCAGCGACCGAAGUGUGACCUCAGUGUUUCACAGCUUUCACAGCGUGUGUGUUUGUUCCUUUGUGGUGCUAUUGUAGAGAGCCGAUUAUUGAUACUAACAUGACGUGUUCAAAAUGAUGCGUUGUAUACAGGGAAAACUACGGUAAAUAUGUUACUUAUUACAAUAUUAAGCUCAAGUUGCAUGUAUAUAAACAUAAUUCUGGGCAUGUCAUUGUUAGUGACGCGCAUGAAAGGAUUAAUGAGACUCCCCGUGCGUACAGAAAUGAUCCAGAAGAUCCCAUCCAAAAAGUUCCACAUCUUUCACUCGAUAUGGCCCCGGUUACAAAGUACAAAGUUACAUUAAUAUGUUCUUCAUGACAAACAGUUGUCGCCCCAAUGAUUGCAUUUGAAAAGGCAGGUUUUACUGUGAGGAACACAACAUAACUCCAAACGCAAUCUCAUUACAUCCUAUCUUUCACAACGACAAGAAACCCAUCCCGUUAAGAGAGGCAUUGUGUAAGAAUGAAAGAUCUGAAUUUAGAUCUGAUUUGACAUUAUGUACAUAGAAUACACAUGUAUGUACUCUUACAUUCUCUAUGGCACACAAAAACGUAAUUGAUAGCGUUUAUGAUAUAUAACAGUUAUGAAUUGUAUGUAUGUUUAUGCCUGGCCAGUUAAACAGGACAAGUUUAAUAGAAGGAUACCUUUGUUUGGUACAUUCACAGUUCCGGUUAAUGAUAGCGGUGCGGUGUUUAUGCACUGCUGAGUUCUAAUUGGUUUAUGACUGAAAGACACAAACGCGUAUUGCAGAGGAUUGUGAUCCCGUUAACACAGGAGUACAACACUCGAUCAGUGUACGGACAGACUAUUUAAAGAGUCACUCAACUCCACAGGCAGGGAUGUACCUUGGCUUCGUCUAGACGUAGGGUCGAUCUAGCCUAAGGGUUAAAGUCCCGGGUUCGAUUUCCCUCAUAGGUACACUAUGUGAAACCCAUUUCUGGUGUCCCUUUGAGAGAUGUUGCUGGAAUAUUGUUUAAAACGAUGUAAAACGUACUCACUCAGUCACUGGUCCAGAUGAACUUAGAACACAGUGUUUCUGCUGUUAGGGUAAUCAAAUUUCCUAGUUUGGUGUAUGUCAUGACAUUGUGUUAACAGACAAAUCGACAAUGACUUGGAUCAAACUGCGUAGGACUGCACCACAAUAAGUGUGGAAUAUGAAUUAGCUUGGCAGAUUUGUGAUUGGAAUUUCUAUUCGAUACUUCUAUUUAAUAACAUGUAUUUACAUGUUGUUGUCAGACAACAUCUUAAAAUUCUCAACAAAAUAAGACACGUUCAAAUGAGAAGUACAUUCCAAUCUUUAGGUGAGUAACUCCCUUGAUGAAAACGCUGAACGUUAUAUUUGAUUGUUGUUUAACGUCGCACUCAACAAUAUUUCAGCUAUAUGACGGCGGUCUGUGAAUAAUCGAGUCUGGACCAGACAAUCCAGUAAUUGACAUCAUGAACAUCUAUCUACGCAAUGGGCUACGAUGACAUGCGUCAGUUAAGUCAUCGGGCCUGACCACCCGAUCCCGUUUGUCAUCAUGAACUUUCAAGGAUAUAGACGCAUGGUGCACGCAGACCUUUUGUAUUUCGGGGCUUGAUGUCCGGCAGUGCCUAGCCCGCUCAACGUCAUAUAGUCUUCUCUAGAUAUAAAAAAGCACUAUACAGACCUUUAGAAUCAUUAGAGGAUGCUUGCCACGUUUCACACUGCCUCAGCAAGUCUCGUACCUUUCCCUAAACUUGCAAAAUAAUUAUUGCACGGCAUCCUUAACAACCAUGGAAUCAUAUGGAAUCAUCAUGUUUAGAAGACAAACAUUCGAAAAUAUUGAUGUUAAACUAAAUCAUUAAAACUGGCUUUAGGCUUAUAACCCAAAUUUAAUACCCGUGUGAGCAAUAUAAUGUUGAAACACUUUCUGCGUCAUGUCUCAUUUUCGUUUUAUCCGAUUAAAUAACAUGUAUAUUUGUGAAAUGUUGACUAUUGAAAUUUAUUUAUUUUUAUUUUUACAUUUUUGUGUAAUUUGUUAUGUGACUUUUUGUAUAGUUUAACAAAUAUUGAAGAUGUAUUUGGAGGAAUUUAUUCGUGUAAUAUGUGAGAGAUAUUUCAUCCAUGACACGAAGCCUCCACCGUCUCACGAUUUUUCAGGGCUUUUCCAGCAAUGCUCAAGUGUUGGUCAAAUCUCGUUGUCUCGAAUACCUUAUAGCGUGCAUAACCUUAUGCAUCGCAUGCAUAUGCACACACUAUACUUUGGAACUGUUUGGUUUUUUUAAAUGCUCUCUUACACCACCAUCCAUGUCCUACCAACACCUACCUAGCCCUAUCCAACCCCUUUCUCCUACUUCCCCACCCUGACCCCAGGUCUCACCCUCAUCUAGCCCCCAUCACCAAAAAAAACCCAAUCCUACCUACCCCUACCCAUAUAACCUAGUUCCCAGCCGCAACUUCAUCCUCAUCACCAACUACAAGUGCU
rnacentral:misc_RNA from 1 species